ensembl:sense_intronic Gm28791 predicted gene 28791
GGUUCUUGGAUUUUUUUUGUUUUUUGAAAUACCUGAAAACAAGUAUCAAGUUUUGAGUAACCAAAAGUUUAGGAUCCUGACUUUAAAUUGAGACACCAUCCACACAGUGAUUUAUAUUCAUUUGGGUGAAUGUCUAAUAAUCAACAUGCUCUAGAUAGAUAGAUAGAUAGAUAGAUAGAUAGAUAGAUAGAUAGAUAGGUAGGUAGAUAGGUAGGUAGAUAGAUGAUAGAUAGAUAGAUAGAUAGAUAGACAGACAGACACACACACACACACACAGCUAAAUAGAUCCAACUUUGUUUAGUGGAAACAUGUGUAAACCCACGAUUUGUUUGUUUAGUGCUGCAGUGAAACUGCAUGUGCACAUGUAUUGGAAUAACUGGUCGAGCCAUCCCUUUCUUAGAGAAGUUACUCGGUUUUUAAAAUCCAAGAAAGAGUUGGUGCGAAUGAAAAAAAAAAAAAAAAAACAGGAGUAUAUUGCAGGUUGAGUGGGUAAAACCUUCCACAAAUAAAGAUGCGGAUACUGAAAGCAAGAAGCUCAUAGAGGCUGAUUGGGUCAGAGUCACAGCUUUACCAUGUGACUUGCUAUGUCAAGGAAGCUGGAAUUGCUUUAUCUCAUUCUUUCCCAUGAAUAUAUGCUUUGAAAGUAGAGCAACAAAGCCCCCUCCCUCAUGCAUGCUUGACAUUUCUAUUUAGACAUACUUUGGUGCUAAGCCUGAAGAACUGUGCAUUCUCUUCUAAAAUGUAUUGAUAUGAGUUCCUAAUUUGUAGGGAAAAAAAGGUAUUUGCAUUUUUUGGCUGAUUGGGAGUUGUGAUUAUAAAUAAUAAAAAGAAAUGUAAUAAUAGGUCACUUAUUUUCAGUGCUUAUGGUACUGAUGACUUAUGUUAUUUAUUCUCCUUCAUCCUCAGAGCAUCUCAGUGAGGUGGCUUAUUUAAUUAUGUCCAUCUUCUAAGUAAACUGGGUACUAGAGCACUUGAUUCACUUUGUUACAUGGCUGACAAAUAGCAGAGCUCAAGUUGAACCCAGGCAGUCUGAAUAAGACACUUAGUAUCUCUUCUUAUGCUCCUAUUCUGUGAGGUCACAUAUAUAGAGCACUUAAGUAUAAUGUCUAGCAAUAGAACUGUAAAUGUAAACAGUGAUCAAUAGCUAAUAAUUAACUCUUUUUACCUAAAUCAUUUGAGUUAAUACUUCAGGAAACUGUUGUUUUGCCUAUGGCUUCUGUUCCAGUACUUCAUUAUAAUAAUAGCACAAGAUGAUUCUGGAACCAUGCUUAACCUACCUGCUGUUACCUGCUUCUUUGCUGAUCUGUUUAUACAUUCUAUAUUAACUCUCUAGCAAGGACUAUUACCUGUCUGUCCUUAAUCUAGUGCCCCGCACAUAAAAAUGACCAGAUGCUGUUCAGCAACUGAGUGAAGCCUAAAAAUGUGACCUCUGCUGGCCUUAAACAUUAUUUAUGCCACCUGUACCUGUGCUUUAUUUUACGUGGUUUUCUGUUGGUUAAGAGUUCAUCUGUUUGAUGUUAUAUAUACCUGGGCAGUUACAUGGUUUUCUGUUGGUUAAGAGUCCAUCUGUGGGGCUGGUGAGAUGGCUCAGCGGUUAAGAGCGCCGACUGCUCUUCCAGAGUCCUGAGUUCAAAUCCCAGCAACCACAUGGAGGCUCACAACCAUCCGUAAUGAGAUCUGAUGCCCUCUUCUGGAGUGUCUGAAGACAGCUACAGUGUACUUACAAAUAAUAAAUGAAUAAAUAAGUAUUAAAUAAAAGAGAAAGAUUGUUAUCUCUCU